AGCCAUCCGGAAGUGGGCGUAGUUGGUACAAACUCAAAGACGGCCCAGGAUCAGCGCUGCCGCUCUGUGCGUGAGAACACGGGGUCAAGGCGUGACGCAAACAUAAACUGCGCUGCGCAUGACGCCACUUUAACGUCACCACACACCUGCCCCGGGAUGAUGUCAUCAAAAGGGGACUCACCGUUAACGGAACAGCUGCUCUUUAACGGCGGAGAUUCUGCAGCUCACUUCCACCGCCUUCUUCUUCUGCUGUUAUUAGACGGACCACAUCAGAUCGAGGGGCACUGUACCACCGGCAGUCAUGGGAGCUUUCUGGAGAAUACUGGACACAUCCAAGCACUCAGCAGAGCAAUACGCCACCUGAACAGACAACCAGCAAUACUCAACUGCUACACAACUGCGCCCAAUGCACAAAAAAAAAAAACAAAACAAAACAAAACACACAAGCAGGAUUAGGAGUCCAGGGAGAUGAGUGCAUCAUGGGUAACCCUUGGACACACACUGACAGACACUCCGAGCUGCAGCAGAGCAGACAUACGGAAAAAGUAAAUGUAGAAAAUGUAAAUAAAAACAACUGAUCUGAAGGUUUAUGUCACUUUGGUUGUGACUUCAUCACUAAGUGAGAUGAGUGACAGCAGUCUUUCAAACAAAUUACAGCAUCUGUGACAUCACAACUAAAAGAAGCCAAUAUAAGAAUCCAACAUGUAAACUGGAUCUAUGGAGUCAGACUGAAGGCCUGAAGACAUCACCUUGGCCAACAUUAUUAAAAAAAAAAAAAAAAAUCUGAAACAUACACUCAGAUUAAUAUGUGACUGAUUUCCCAGAGACAAAAUAACCUGAAUAUACAACAUUAGUUUUGGGUUCACAAGGCUCAGGGGUUUAACGAAAAGUAAUCACAGCAACGAGGACUGUCUCAUCUUCCUUUUUUCCUUAUUGUCUAUCUUCUGCAUGAACAAAAACUACAGUUUUAUCUUAGUUCCUUUUUUGCGGUGCCAGUUAUGAUUCAAGUUCUCAGGUUGAGGGAAGUCAGACACAGUAAGACCAGCAAAUCCCAAAAAAGGCAAACUAAACCCAUGUCGGCACAUUUUAAAACUUAAGUAGUGAACUCAUUUUAUUAAUUAGGGUAGAGAGAUGAGAGCACCUAGACCCUGCAGUUCACUGAACCCAUAUGAAAACAUCAUCUGAACCCCAGUCCUGGUCCACGUUAAAAAUACAGAACAAAGAUAAGAAUGAUUAAGCAUUAUAAAAAGGAAAUAAAAAUCACAGCACACAGUCAGAGGGAAAAAAA
rnacentral:lncRNA from 1 species